rnacentral:misc_RNA from 1 species
AAGUCGUAACAAGGUUUCCGUAGGUGAACCUGCGGAAGGAUCAUUACUGAGUCUUUGAACUGGGUUGAAGCUGGCCUUCCGAGGCAUGUGCUCGCCCCGCUCUUCAUCCACUCACCCCUGUGCACCUUGCGUUUGAGAUGUGAUCUGACCUUUCAUUAGGUAACCAGUAGGGAAACCUAUUUGGUGGGUCGCUCUUGGCGUAUUUUCAUACAAACUACGAAUGUCAUUAGAAUGUCUUCAGCCUACGGGCUUUAAAUACAAUACAACUUUCAACAACGGAUCUCUUGGCUCUC